GUUCUUUUGGGAGUCUUCCUCAAAGGCAAAGGAAGAAUUCAAUGGAAGAAUGUAUGGCGGAAGCUCUUGCAAAACUUGCUCUCCAAGUUGAAAGAUGUGGAGUCACCUAAAAUAUCAUCAUCUGUGGCGAACAUUUGUUUGAAAGUUAAAAUGAUUCCAAUGAAUCAAUGAAGAAAUAGUAGAAUUCUUGCACCAGAUUGAUGAAAAAGAGGAGUUAUGUACAUCUAAGAAAAAUUGAGCUGGUUGUUCCAAGCACAUCCAGUAAAUGUAGAGGUGAGCAGCGGUUGGCCUGAAAGCACUGGUGAUGAAAGAAGCUGCAUCAUGUUUUCCUGGAAUUGCUGGUCCAGAAAGAUUCUCAACCGACGUGAUGUUAACAAGAGCUGUUGAUUGGAAAUUAUUUUGAUGCUCAAUAAAUAAAUCAUUUGCACUAUAGCAACA